ensembl:lincRNA
CCGCCUGCUCCCCCACCGCGCGGGCGCGCAGCUGGGGAAAGCGGAAGCCGGGGCGGGGCGAGGGGCGGGGGCGGGUCUUUGGAGACCUACGUUCGCGCCCACACUGCGGAGCGACAAAUUGAGGCCGGGAGGGCGGAGUUGGGCCUGGGCGCCGCCUCCGGAGCCCUGUCCUGCUCCGGGUCGGGGACAGGCGGGGCGGGUCACGUGGGUGUGACAGCUGGGAGGGGCGGCCCGCGUCAAUGUGGUCGGGAGGCGGCGGCCCGCGCCCCGAGCCCCGGCGCUGAGGACCCCGGCACCCCUCCGCCGGAGCUCGGCGCCAACCCCUGCCCAGCCCAGCGCAGCCCCCGGCCGCCGGGCCGGCCGCACCAUGUUUUCCAAGAAGAAACGGGAGCUCAUAAAAACCCCGUCCAUCUCCAAAAAGAACCGCGCGGGAAGCCCCAGCCCGCAGCCGUCGGGGGAGCUGUCCAGGAAAGAUGGGGCUGAUUCCGUGUUCCCUGGACUUAGCCUGGACGUCCCAGCGUCGUCCUCGGGUGUCAAGACCUCGGCCACCUUGAAGCGGCCCACCAGCCUCAGCCGCCAUGCCAGCGCUGCAGGCUUCCCGCUCUCGGGCUCGGGCUCCUGGACCCUAGGCCGGGGCUACCGAAGCCCCUUGAUGGCUGCCAGCCCUGCAGAACCCUCUGCUGAGGGUCUAGGCCCUGAGACCACUGAGGAUAUCUCCAGCCUGCUGGCUGAUGUGUCCCGCUUAGCAGAUGGUCUGGUAAAACUCAAGGAGUGUGUGUCAAAUGAUGAGCUCCUGGAGGCCCGGAGGCCGAAGGCCCAUGAGCGCCUGGGGGAGGCCCUGCGUGUGCUACAUCAGGUCAUCUGCAAGUACCCAAUGCUGAACACCUUGGAGACACUGACUGCCGCGGGCAAGCUCAUCGCCAAGGUUAAAGCCUUCCAUUUUGAAUGUAACCUUGACUCAGACAAAAGGGAAUUUGAGAAAGCCCUGGAGACCAUGGCAGUGUCCUUCAGCAGUAGUGUGUCGGAGUUCUUUAUGGGUGAGGUGGAUAGCAGCACACUCCUGGCCGUGCCUCUUGGGGACCCCAGCCAGGCCAUGGAGAACCUUUACUCAGGCAGCGAGGGCUCCCCAGCCGGCGCCGAGGACUGCGAGGAAGGCUGCCUGCCCCCGGAGGAGGUGGACCUACUUCUGCAGCGCUGUGAGGGCGGCGUGGACGUGGCCCUGCAGUAUGCCAAGAACAUGGCCAAGUACAUGAAAGACCUCAUUGGCUACCUGGAGAAGCGGAUGGCGCUGGAGAUGGAGUUCGCUAAGGGUCUGCUGAAAAUCAUCCACGGCUGCCGACAGAGCGUGAUUCAAGAGCCCCACAUGCCCCUGAUGUCCAUCUACUCGCUGGCCCUGGAACAGGACAUGGAGUUCAGCCACAGUAUUGUGCAGGCAGCGACCACGCUGCAGGCGCAGACCUUCAUACAGCCCCUCACCCACCGGCGGCUGGAGCAUGAGAGGCGCAGGAAGGAAAUCAAGGAGUCCUGGCAACGUGCACAGCGGAAGCUGCAAGAAGCUGAAAACAACCUGAAAAAGGCCAAGGCGAGCUACGUGCAGCGCUCUGAGGACCAUGACAAGGCCCGGUUUCAAGUGGCCAAGGAAGAGCAGGGCGCCACCCCACCUGGGGUGGGCAGUGCAGCUUCCAAGACACUGGACAAGAGGCGACGGCUGGAGGAGGAAGCCAAGAACAAGGUCAGGGUAUGGGGAUGAGACCGGGGGUGCAGAUUUCGCCUCCAGGCUUCGACUCAGACCCCAGCUCCUCUUGAGAAUACCCUUCCCGGUGGCACCUGUGGUGGUGCACAGCUGUCAUUCCAGCACUGUGGGUGGCUGAGGCAGAAGGAUCUCAAAUUCUAGCCCAGCCUGGACCACUUUAGCAAGACCUUCUCUCAAAAAGUAAAAAAACAAAACCCAAAAAAUCAGACUGGGAAUGUAGCUCAUGUAAAGGCCCAAGAUUCCAUUCCUAGGACCACAAAAUAAACACACAAUUUAAAAAAUGCCCCUCCCACCUUCUCCUGCCUGGCUCCUCCAGAGAAUUUUUGUUUUAUUUGACUAAUUAUUUUUGAUCUUAGGAACGUCUUUAUUCUUAAUCAAAGGGCAACACUUUUCUCCAGUCAGCAUCAAAUCUAUUUUACAGGGUACUAUUUUUGUUAACCACAAAACCUUUCAGAAGGCAGCUUUAAUUGAAAGUUUAAAAUUUGCACUUUCACACUAGAAGACCAUUAGUUUUAUGGAUUCAGUGGUUAAGAAGGCAAAAGUCCCAUAAAGGCUUCAGGGCAAGUGGAAUCUAAAUGAUUCAGAUCAGUAGUAUAGUGUAUCAAACCGGCCCCUUCCCUUGUAUUCAAAACCAGGUCAGUAGCGAUUAUUUGUGGUCAACUCAACUGCACAAGCAUGCAACCAAAUUUGAAACCAACUCCGCCUUCACGUUACUGUAAUUAAUUUAUGUUCGAGGCAGAGUCUCACUAUGCAAUUCAGGCUGGCCUUGAAUUUAUAAUGUAGCCCAGGCUGGCCUCGAACUCCUGGUGAUCCUCCUGCCUCAGCCUCCCAAGCCCUGGGAUGCUAGGCAUGCAGCCCCAAGCCGGCUCUCGGGAGGUUUUCCUGUCAGGCCUGGCCAGUAACAGACUGGCUGAGGCCUGAGCCCCUGGGCUGAGCCUCCCGGCCCAUCCUGACCCCCUUACACACACCCCAGGCGGAGGAAGCCUUGGCCACCUACCGCACGUGCGUGGCAGAUGCCAAGACUCAGAAGCAGGAGCUGGAGGACACGAAAGUGGCGCGCUGCGGCAGAUCCAGGAGAUCAUCCGCCAAAGCGACCAGACCAUCAAGUCGGUGGGUGGCGGCCGUGCUGCGCGCCCGCUUGGCGGGGGGUGGGGAGGGGGAGUGGCGGGGGACUGG